rnacentral:rRNA from 1 species
AAGGUAGCAUAAUAAAUUGGCUUUUAAUUGAAGUCUAGAAUGAAUGGAUAAAUGAAUAUAUUCUGUCUUAUUUGAUUAUUUUAAAGUUGCUUAUUAGGUGAAAAUACCUAAUUUAUAAAAUAGACGAGAAGACCCUAGGAGUUUUUUUGUUGGGGCGACAGUAUAGCAUAUAACCUAUAUAUUAAGACAUUAAAACAAUUAUUUUUAUUAAAAAUAAACUACCCUAGGGAUAACAGCAUAAAGUUUGUGACCUCGAUGUUGGACUAGGGAUUUUAAUAUUAACUAUAUUAUAAGAUUUGUUCUGUUCGAACAUUAAUACCU